AGGUGGUGCAUGGUUGUCGUCAGCUCGUGUCGUGAGAUGUUGGGUUAAGUCCCGCAACGAGCGCAACCCUUAAGCUUAGUUGCCAUCAUUAAGUUGGGCACUCUAAGUUGACUGCCGGUGACAAACCGGAGGAAGGUGGGGAUGACGUCAAAUCAUCAUGCCCCUUAUGAUUUGGGCUACACACGUGCUACAAUGGACAAUACAAAGGGCAGCGAAACCGCGAGGUCAAGCAAAUCCCAUAAAGUUGUUCUCAGUUCGGAUUGUAGUCUGCAACUCGACUACAUGAAGCUGGAAUCGCUAGUAAUCGUAGAUCAGCAUGCUACGGUGAAUACGUUCCCGGGUCUUGUACACACCGCCCGUCACACCACGAGAGUUUGUAACACCCGAAGCCGGUGGAGUAACCUUUUAGGA
rnacentral:rRNA from 1 species